rnacentral:rRNA from 1 species
CUACGGAGGGUGCAAGCGUUAUUCGGAAUCACUGGGCGUAAGGGACGCGUAGGCGGGUUGGCAAGUCAGAUGUGAAAUCCUACAGCUUAACUGUAGAACUGCAUUUGAAACUGCUAACCUAGAGUAUGGGAGGGGGAGAUGGAAUUAGUGGUGUAGGGGUAAAAUCCGUAGAUAUCACUAGGAAUACCGAAAGCGAAGGCGAUCUCCUGGAACAUAACUGACGCUAAGGCGUGAAAGCGUGGGGAGCAAACAGGAUUAGAAACCCUAGUAGUCC